UGUCCCUUAAAUGAGGACCCGUAUGAAAGGCAACAUGAGAGAAAACCUGUCUCCUAAGGUCAGCCAGUGAAAUUGAUCUAUCAGUACAAAAGCUGAUAUAAUAAAGCAAGACAAAAAGACCCUAUGGAACUUUUAACGAACUACUUACACAAAUUAGCAAUAGUUUCAGUUGGGACAACUUUAGAAAAAAUAAACCUCUUACAUAUACCUUGACCAACAAGUCUCCAACAUACUACAAGACCCAGUAACACUGACAAACGAAACAAGCUACCCUAGGGAUAACAGCGCUACCUUCUCAAAGAGUCCAUAUCAACAAGAAGAUCUACGACCUCGAUGUUGGAUCAGGGUACCCAGACAGUGCAGCAGCUGUCAAUGGUUCGUUUGUUCAACGACUAACACCCUACGUGAUCUGAGUUCAGACCGGAGA
rnacentral:rRNA from 1 species